rnacentral:rRNA from 1 species
AGUGAACGCUGGCGGUAGGCCUAACACAUGCAAGUCGAACGGCAGCACAGUAAGAGCUUGCUCUUACGGGUGGCGAGUGGCGGACGGGUGAGGAAUACAUCGGAAUCUACUUUUUCGUGGGGGAUAACGUAGGGAAACUUACGCUAAUACCGCAUACGACCUACGGGUGAAAGCAGGGGAUCUUCGGACCUUGCGCGAUUGAAUGAGCCGAUGUCGGAUUAGCUAGUUGGCGGGGUAAAGGCCCACCAAGGCGACGAUCCGUAGCUGGUCUGAGAGGAUGAUCAGCCACACUGGAGAUGAGACACGGUCCAGACUCCUACGGGAGGCAGCAGUGGGGAAUAUUGGACAAAGGGCGCAAGCCUGAUCCAGCCAUACCGCGUGGGUGAAGAAGGCCUUCGGGUUGUAAAGCCCUUUUGUUGGGAAAGAAAAGCAGCAGGUUAAUACCCCGCUGUUCUGACGGUACCCAAAGAAUAAGCACCGGCUAACUUCGUG